GUGCAGCUGAAGGAGUCAGGAACUGGCCUGGUGGCGCCCUCACAGAGCCUGUCCAUCACCUGCACUCUCUGGGUUCUCAUUAACCAGCUCUGGUGUACACUGGGUUCGCCAGCCUCCAGGAAAGGGACUGGAGUGGCUGGGAGUAAUAUGGGGUGAUGGAAGCACAAAUUAUAAUUCAGCUCUCAAAUCCAGACUGAGCAUCAGCAAGGACAACUCCAAGAGCCNAGUUUUCUUAAAAAUGAACAGUCUGCAAAUUGAUGACACAGCCAGGUACUACUGUCCCAGAGGGGUCUAUGAUAGUGUGACUACUUUGACUACUGGGGCCAAGGCACCACUGUCACAGUCUCCUCAGCCAAAACAACACCCCCAUCUGUCUAUCCACUGGCUCCUGGAUCUGCUGCCCAAACUAACUCCAUGGUGACCCUGGGAUGCCUGGUCAAGGGCUAUUUUCCUGAGCCAGUGACGGUGACCUGGAACUCUGGAUCCCUGUCCAGCGGUGUGCACACCUUCCCAGCUGUCCUGCAGUCUGACCUCUAUACUCUGAGCAGUACAGUGACUGUCCCCUCCAGCACCUGGCCCAGCCAGACCAUCACCUGCAAUGUGGCCCACCCGGCAAGCAGCACCAAGGUGGACAAGAAAAUUGAGCCCAGCGUGUCCAUAACACCCAACCCCUGUCCUCCAUGCAAAGAGUGUCACAAAUGCCCAGCUCCUGACCUCUUGGGUGGACCAUCCGUCUUCAUCUUCCCUCCCAAGAUCAAGGAUGUACUCAUGAUCUCCCUGACCCCCAAGGUCACGUGUGUGGUGGUGGAUGUGAGCGAGGAUGACCCAGAUGUCCAGGUCAGCUGGUUUGUGGGCAACGUGGAAGUACACACAGCUCAGACACAAACCCAGAGAGAGGAGUACAACAGUACUAUCCGGGUGGUCAGUGCCCUCCCCAUCCAGCACCAGGACUGGAUGAGUGGCAAGGAGUUCAAAUGCAAGGUCAACAACAAAGCCCUCCCAGCGCCCAUUGAGGGAAAAAUCUCAAAACCCAAAGGGCCAGUCAGAGCUCCACAGGUAUAUGUCUUGCCUCCUCCAGCAGAAGAGAUGACUAAGAAGCAGGUCAGUCUGACCUGCAUGAUCACAGGCUUCAUCCCUGCCGAAAUUGCUGUGGAGUGGACCAGCAAUGGGCAUAAUGAGCUGAACUACAAGAACACUGAACCAGUCCUGGACUCUGAUGGUUCUUACUUCAUGUACAGCAAGCUCAGGGUGCAAAAGAGCAGUUGGGAACAAGGAAGUCUUUUCGCCUGCUCAGUGGUCCACGAGGGUCUGCACAAUCACCACACGACUAAGACAAUCUCCCGGUCUCUGGGGCUAGACCUGGAUGAUAUCUGUGCUGAGGCCCAGGAUGGGGAGCUGGACGGGCUCUGGACGACCAUCACCAUCUUCAUCAGCCUCUUCCUGCUCAGCGUGUGCUAUAGCGCCUCUGUCACACUCUUCAAGGUAAAGUGGAUCUUCUCCUCAGUGGUGGAGCUGAAGCAGAAGAUCUCCCCUGACUACAGAAACAUGAUUGGGCAGGGAGCCUAG